rnacentral:rRNA from 1 species
CAAGUCGAGGGGCAGCAUGAACUUAGCUUGCUAAGUUUGAUGGCGACCGGCGCACGGGUGAGUAACACGUAUCCAACCUGCCGAUGACUCGGGGAUAGCCUUUCGAAAGAAAGAUUAAUACCCGAUGGCAUAAUUAGACCGCAUGGUUUGAUUAUUAAAGAAUUUCGGUCAUCGAUGGGGAUGCGUUCCAUUAGGUUGUUGGCGGGGUAACGGCCCACCAAGCCUUCGAUGGAUAGGGGUUCUGAGAGGAAGGUCCCCACAUUGGAACUGAGACACGGUCCAAACUCC